GGAUAACUCCGGGAAACCGGGGCUAAUACCGGAUGCUUGUUUGAACCGCAUGGUUCAAACAUAAAAGGUGGCUUCGGCUACCACUUACAGAUGGACCCGCGGCGCAUUAGCUAGUUGGUGAGGUAACGGCUCACCAAGGCAACGAUGCGUAGCCGACCUGAGAGGGUGAUCGGCCACACUGGGACUGAGACACGGCCCAGACUCCUACGGGAGGCAGCAGUAGGGAAUCUUCCGCAAUGGACGAAAGUCUGACGGAGCAACGCCGCGUGAGUGAUGAAGGUUUUCGGAUCGUAAAGCUCUGUUGUUAGGGAAGAACAAGUACCGUUCGAAUAGGGCGGUACCUUGACGGUACCUAACCAGAAAGCCACGGCUAACUACGUGCCAGCAGCCGCGGUAAUACGUAGGUGGCAAGCGUUGUCCGGAAUUAUUGGGCGUAAAGGGCUCGCAGGCGGUUCCUUAAGUCUGAUGUGAAAGCCCCCGGCUCAACCGGGGAGGGUCAUUGGAAACUGGGGAACUUGAGUGCAGAAGAGGAGAGUGGAAUUCCACGUGUAGCGGUGAAAUGCGUAGAGAUGUGGAGGAACACCAGUGGCGAAGGCGACUCUCUGGUCUGUAACUGACGCUGAGGAGCGAAAGCGUGGGGAGCGAACAGGAUUAGAUACCCUGGUAGUCCACGCCGUAAACGAUGAGUGCUAAGUGUUAAGGGGGUUUCCGCCCCUUAGUGCUGCAGCUAACGCAUUAAGCACUCCGCCUGGGGGAGUACGGUCGCAAGACUGAAACUCAAAGGAAUUGACGGGGGCCCGCACAAGCGGUGGAGCAUGGUGGUUUAAUUCGAAGCAACGCGAAGAACCUUACCAGGUCUUGACAUCCUCUGACAAUCCUAGAAGAUAGGACGUCCCCUUCGGG
rnacentral:rRNA from 1 species